CAUCUGGGACGCCGGUAGCGACACUGGCGGCAACUCUCUGAACCACCAGUGCUGCAAUGGUGCUCACAGCAAGCGCGAGGAACAAGCAAGAGGCCGUGGAAUCGUCUCCAACAGACCGAAGACAAAGUUGGGCCGGCACACACACAGAUAUCCGGUUUAUUAGCUGACCGUGGCUCCACUUGGGCUCAUGAACAUCGACACAGAGCCUAUCAAAAAUGGAGAUGAAGAACCUCUUCCCUAAAUACCACAAAUUCCUUUUAGAAACUUCAGAGAAAUAUAAGUAAUACGGUCUAUUCAAUAUCCUACAAUAAGGUAAAAAAAUCGCAAGACAUUCAUUCUAAAUUCCUGCCAACGCAAAAGAAGGCUGAACUCUACGGAAUUCAGGAAUAAGAACCUAAACAAACACGAUUUUGAUUGUCAGCCCCUAUUUUGCGGCUUCACCCCAACAACUCUCAAGACAUACAUAACCCCCUACUCUCCAUAGCCCGAAGAAUGUUGUACGGCAGACAGAACCCAGAGAACAGCUGAAGGCGAUGUAAUUCAGUAUUUCAAUAUUAUGUCACACAGAAGAGUAAAACAGGAAUACAGUGUGGGUGGCAGACUGAGCAACAUCUAAUGUGAUAGUGUAUUAACAAAUUAAACAUGAACUUGGAAAAUAAAGUUAUGAUGAACAAGA